UACGUAGGUGACCAGCGUUGUCCGGAUUUACUGGGCGUAAAGAGCGCGCAGGCGGUCGAUCAAGUCGAGUGUGAAAGCCCCCGGCUCAACUGGGGAGGGUCACGCGAUACUGAUCGACUCGAAGGCAGGAGAGGGAAGUGGAAUUCCCGGUGUAGUGGUGAAAUGCGUAGAUAUCGGGAGGAACACCAGUGGCGAAGGCGACUUCCUGGCCUGUUCUUGACGCUGAGGCGCGAAAGCUAGGGGAGCAAACGGG
rnacentral:rRNA from 1 species